UACGUAGGGGGCAAGCGUUAUCCGGAUUUACUGGGUGUAAAGGGAGCGUAGACGGCAUGGCAAGUCUGAUGUGAAAGGUGCGGGCUCAACUCGUAAACUGCAUUGGAAACUGUCACGCUAGAGUGCAGGAGAGGUAAGUGGAAUUCCUAGUGUAGCGGUGAAAUGCUCAGAUAUUAGGAGGAACACCAGCGGCGAAGGCGGCUUACUGGACUGUAACUGACGUUGAGGCUCGAAAGCGUGGGUAGCAAAC
rnacentral:rRNA from 1 species